UACAGAGGGUGCAAGCGUUAAUCGGAAUUACUGGGCGUAAAGGGCGCGUAGGCGGCGCGGGAAGUCAACGGUGAAAGCUUGGGGCUCAACUCCGAGUCGGCCGUCGAUACUCCCGUGCUCGAGCACUGUAGAGGCAGAUGGAAUUCCGGGUGUAGCGGUGGAAUGCGUAGAGAUCCGGAAGAACACCGGUGGCGAAGGCGGUCUGCUGGGCAGUUGCUGACGCUGAUGCGCGACAGCGUGGGGAGCGAACAGG
rnacentral:rRNA from 1 species